UAGAACAAAAUGUGUUGUAACCAUUAAUUGCUUCUCAUCAGGUAAUUGCAGGCUGAAGGUUCAUACUGCAUCUAAUCUGCAAUUUAUAGACAAGAUCAACAUGAACUUCUUGGCGCUGAAAAUAUUUCUGAGUAAAGAGCAAGUAACAAGAUGCAUAAAGGAUGCGUUUGUGUCUGCAGACUUUGUGUCUCUCUCUGAAGUAUCUAAGGGAACUUUGACUUUAUCAGAAUUAUUCUACAGUUUUGUAUAGCAGGUGAAAAUUUCACAGGUGCAAAUGCUGAUGCCUUUUUUGGCUUUAUUUUUUUCUUUUUUUACAUUUUGUUUAAAGUUUUCAUAACCUUUGAGCCUCGAAGCAUUUUUCUAAUCUACAAAUCGUGUGUGCCAAUGGGGCCGAGUCCAUGGGGAGCAGCGCAGGUGUUUUGCCCAGAGGGUGGAGCUGAAAACCCACCAGCUGCUUAUAAAAAGCUUUUUGGUAGCUGUAGUUAGUUGUGUGGGGGAUUUUGCAGUCUGAGCGCUUGCUUCUGCUUGCAGUAUUUGGCUACUCUGGUGGGAGUUCUGUAGAGCGUUGUCUGGAUUUGAACCUCACAUUUGUAGUAGACUUGACUCAUUGGGAAAAUGUUCCUUGGAGGGGAGACAGGUGGAAAAUACCUUUUGAGUAGUGUAGCCUCAGGAAAAUGGUUGGUCUUGGGAACUCUUGCAUUCUGUGUUGUGUGUGUCUCACCAGCGUGUCACCUGGAAGUCAAGAAGGGGGAGAUCUGUACUGCAGGGCUUGGACUUGUCACCCAGACAUACCCUGAAUUGUGGCACCAGAACAUGACAACUACAAACCUUUUAAGAUCCACGGAUUAGCCGAGUUUAAGAACUUCAGGAGCUAUGAAAUUCUGGGAUUACUGAAAUGUUGAGAUUAAUUAUCACAAUCAGGUACAUCAGGAAUUAUAAGUAUGUGCUUAAUCAGUACACUGUGGUUAUUUAUUGCAACCAAUGUAUCAUAAUUACUACACAGGCAUUGGAAUUAAGGGGGGUACUGAUAGUUGUUGAUUUCUGUCACGACCCACUGACAAUACAUCCUUCACGGAUUUUUCAGCUACUGUUUUGAUUUGCGUUUAACUGUACCUCCUGCCCCUUGCUGUGGGGAAGCCUGAGAACUCUGUAUGGCAUUUCUCCCCCCUGCCCCCCCUCGCCCUUUCUGUG